rnacentral:rRNA from 1 species
AUUGAACGCUGGCGGCAGGCCUAACACAUGCAAGUCGAACGGUAACAGGAAACAGCUUGCUGUUUCGCUGACGAGUGGCGGACGGGUGAGUAAUGUCUGGGAAACUGCCUGAUGGAGGGGGAUAACUACUGGAAACGGUAGCUAAUACCGCAUAACGUCGCAAGACCAAAGAGGGGGCCCUUCGGGCCUCUUGUCAUCGGAUGUGCCCAGAUGGGAUUAGCUUGUUGGUGGGGUAACGGCUCACCAAGGCGACGAUCCCUAGCUGGUCUGAGAGGAUGACCAGCCACACUGGAACUGAGACACGAUCCAGACGCCUACGGGAGGCAGCAGUGGGGAAUAUUGCACAAUGGGCGCAAGCCUGAUGCAGCCAUGCCGCGUGUAUGAAGAAGGCCUUCGGGUUGUAAAGUACUUUCAGCGGGGAGGAAGGGAGUAAAGUUAAUACCUUUACUCAUUGACGUUACCCGCAGAAGAAGCACCGGCUAACUCCGUGCCAGCCGCCGCUGUAA